GCUGUUUGCAGAUAGCUGCACAACUCAACAGAGAUGUUCUGCCGACAGUCUGGCCAUGCUAUAUAACCUGCUGGUUUGGCACUUGAUGGUGAGCGCUGCCUGGACCUCAUCACCAUGACCUUCUCCAUUGGUUUAAUAGCUCUGCAAUUUAUGGCAGUAAUAGAUCGUGCUGCUGGCAACCAAUGUGGAAACUCGUAACUAUUAUCUGCAGAGCAUGUAUGGAUACAAGGAAAUUACAGCCACAGUUUUAAAAGACCGAAGCAACGACAGACUGCAUUUUUGAGCCCCCCUAGCAGUACUGCGGGCCUGUUUGGGAUGCACAUGUUUCUUUCAGGCUUGGAAAGUCUCACUUUUUCUAUGGCUCCAUUAUUUGGUGCCUAGAAAUCAGGAGCCCAGUGCUGUGCCCUACUACCAGGUAUCCUGCACCAGUGUUGCUGAUAGGCUCUGCUGAAUAGCUACAUCCAGCACAUGGAAGCCACUGCACAGAAUGUGACAGCUGUAGCCAGCAGCCAGGUGUGACUUCAUGGGACUCAAAAUGCAACCUCACAUUGAAACCUUCCUCUUCUCAUGAGGCCAAGGAGCAGAGGAGUAAGUUGCCUUUCUUGUGUGCCUCAGCAUGCAAGAAGCUCUACAUGGGGCAAUAAAGAAAGUAGAGAAGCCUUUUCUGUGGAAAUGAUGAUGUUACUUCAUUGUGAUUGGUUUUGCAAGCUACAUGGCACCUUUGAUACAAGAAAGCACUUAAGCAGGGGCAAGGGUCUGCACAGAAGUGGUAAGAGAAACAGGUCUGGUCAAUCUGUGGCCCAAUCUGAAGCUCACUGAAGCCUGUCUCAUGAUAUUAGAAGACCGUCACGUGAUGAUACGCAGUGGGAAGGAAACAGCCCAUGCAAUGCAAUACAUGGAAUUAUUUUACUGAACUGUCUGUCCACAUACAAAAUACAAAACAAAAAAAUCUAGCA